UGGGGAAUAUUUGACAAUGGGCGCAAGCCUGAUCCAGCCAUGCCGCGUGAGUGAUGAAGGCCCUAGGGUUGUAAAGCUCUUUCACCGGUGAAGAUAAUGACGGUAACCGGAGAAGAAGCCCCGGCUAACUUCGUGCCAGCAGCCGCGGUAAUACGAAGGGGGCUAGCGUUGUUCGGAUUUACUGGGCGUAAAGCGCACGUAGGCGGACUUUUAAGUCAGGGGUGAAAUCCCGGGGCUCAACCCCGGAACUGCCUUUGAUACUGGAAGUCUUGAGUAUGGUAGAGGUGAGUGGAAUUCCGAGUGUAGAGGUGAAAUUCGUAGAUAUUCGGAGGAACACCAGUGGCGAAGGCGGCUCACUGGACCAUUACUGACGCUGAGGUGCGAAAGCGUGGGGAGCAAACAGG
rnacentral:rRNA from 1 species